CGCAACUGACGCUGAGGCGCGAAAGUCGGGGGAGCAAACAGGAUUAGAUACCCUGGUAGUCCCGACCUUAAACGGUGCACACUCGGGGUGGGGGGAUUUCAACCUCCCCGUCCCCAAGCCAACGCGUUAAGUGUGCCGCCUGGGGAGUACGACCGCAAGGUUAAAACUCAAAGAAAUUGACGGGGGCCCGCACAAGCAGAGGAGCAUGUGGCUUAAUUCGAUGCAACGCGAAGAACCUUACCUGGGUUUGACAUGCAGCUGCACGGUCCGCGAAAGCGGACCUCCUUCGAGGGUGCUGCACAGGUGCUGCAUGGCUGUCGUCAGUUCGUGCCGUGAGGUGUUUGGUUAAGUCCAGCAACGAACGCAACCCCUAUCGCCAGUUGCCAGCGGGUAGAGCCGGGAACUCUGGCGAGACUGCUAGUUUACGCUAGAGGAAGGUGGGGAUGACGUCAAGUCAGUAUGGCCCUUACACCCAGGGCUGCACACGUGCUACAAUGGCCGGUACAGAGGGACGCCAAGCCGCGAGGCGGAGCCAACCCCCCAGAGCCGGCCCCAGUUCAGAUCGGGGUCUGCAACCCGACCCCGUGAAGUCGGAUUUGC
rnacentral:rRNA from 1 species